rnacentral:rRNA from 1 species
UAACGGCGAGUGAAGCGGGAAGAGCUCAAGCUUGAAAUCUCUGAUCUCAACGGGUCAGCGAAUUGUAGUCUAGAGAAGCAUUGUCAAGGCGAAGUCGCUCUAACAAAGUCACUUGGAACGGUGCGUCAUAGAGGGUGAGAACCCCGUGUGCGUUAGAGUGGCUCGCUGACGAGGUGUUUUCUCAGAGUCGGGUUGCUUGGGAAUGCAGCCCAAAAGGGGAGGUAAACUCCUUCUAAAGCUAAAUAUGGGCACGAGACCGAUAGCGAACAAGUACCGUGAGGGAAAGAUGAAAAGCACUUUGAAAAGAAAGUUAACAGUACGUGAAACCGUUAGUAGGGAAGCGCAUGGGAUUAGCAACGCGCUUGAGAGAUUCAGGCUCGUCGGGGGCGGUUGCUUGUAGAGUUGAUCUUUAUCGACAGCUCUGCUUGUACUCUGUUCUCGUCGCGGCUGUACUUCUGUCRAGUGCGCGUCAACGAGUGUUCGGACCGGCUGAAACGUCCUUGAGAAAGGUGGCUUGUCUCUUCGGAGAGGAGUGUUAUAUUCUUAGGUGACCGAGUCGGGCUGGACAGAGGAGUCGCGGUGCGUGCUUUACGGCUUGCCGCCGGUGUUCGUUUGUGUCAAGUGUUAGGUUGACUCGGCUCACGCUGAGUGUUCUUUUCGCUUGGUGUUCUCGUCGUCGAACGGURGAAACGCACCAAGGUCGUUGGCGGUCAUAUGGUCUUAUGCGACCCGUCUUGAAACACGGACCAAGGAGUCUGACGCGUAUGCAAGUCUUAGGGUGACUGAAACCCUCCGGCAUAAUGAAAGUAAACGAGAUGAGAUCUACCCACUUGUGGGUGCGCAUC